AUGGAUCCACUUAAAGUGUUCUACUUGGAUUAUCUUCGAUCCUUAUGCGCUCGUGCUGAAACCCCAACUAGCAUAAUUGAUGGGAAAUCUUCAGAUGAGCAUGCUCAUUUUGUGCGUCACCAUUUGUCUGAAAAAGAGAGACUCUUAUGGGAUCAAAUAAACAGUUUGUUGUGCUAUGCUAGGAAUCUUUGUGAAAUUUAUUAUUUUACUUGUUGUUCUAAGAACCCUAAAAAACACCUUCCCUACCUAUGUGAGUUUAAUGAAAAUGAAAUCUUAUCUUCUUAUGCAAAGGGUGUUUAUAGUUACUAUGAUAUCGAACAAAUUGAAGAAUUUGUUGCUUUUAAGGGUGCUUAUGAAGUUGCUUCUUUGAUUGAAAAGUAUGAUAUUACUCUCUACAAAUCUGAAAAUUUUGACAUACUUAAAUAUUGCUAUGAAAAUUAUGCUCAUAAUGCCUAUGUCAAAGAAUUUAUUGAAAGAAUGACCGUUGCUUUGGAAGAAAAAUAA
rnacentral:rRNA from 1 species